rnacentral:rRNA from 1 species
GCUUACGGCCAUACCACCCUGAACACGCCCGAUCUCGUCCGAUCUCGGAAGCUAAGCAGGGCCUGGUUAGUACUUGGAUGGGAGACCGCCUGGGAAUACCAGGUGCUGUAAGCU